UGGGGAAUAUUGCACAAUGGGGGAAACCCUGAUGCAGCGACGCCGCGUGAGCGAAGAAGGCCUUCGGGUCGUAAAGCUCUUUUAUGAGGGAAGAUAAUGACGGUACCAUAAGAAAAAGCCCCGGCUAACUACGUGCCAGCAGCCGCGGUAAUACGUAGGGGGCUAGCGUUGUCCGGAAUCACUGGGCGUAAAGGGUUCGCAGGCGGAAAUGCAAGUCAGGUGUAAAAGGCAGUAGCUUAACUACUGUAAGCAUUUGAAACUGCAUAUCUUGAGAAGAGUAGAGGUAAGUGGAAUUUUUAGUGUAGCGGUGAAAUGCGUAGAUAUUAAAAAGAAUACCGGUGGCGAAGGCGACUUACUGGGCUCAUUCUGACGCUGAGGAACGAAAGCGUGGGUAGCAAACAGG
rnacentral:rRNA from 1 species